AAUAGAUACCCGGGUAGUCCACGCCGUAAACGGUGGGCACUAGGUGUGGGCGACAUUCCACGUCGUCCGUGCCGCAGCUAACGCAUUAAGUGCCCCGCCUGGGGAGUACGGCCGCAAGGCUAAAACUCAAAGGAAUUGACGGGGGCCCGUACAAGCGGCGGAGCAUGUGGCUUAAUUCGACGCAACGCGAAGAACCUUACCAAGGCUUGACAUACACCGGAAACGUCCAGAGAUGGGCGCCCCCUUGUGGUCGGUGUACAGGUGGUGCGUGGCUGUCGUCAGCUCGUGUCGUGAGAUGUUGGGUUAAGUCCCGCAACGAGCGCAACCCUUGUCCCGUGUUGCCAGCAGGCCCUUGUGGUGCUGGGGACUCACGGGAGACCGCCGGGGUCAACUCGGAGGAAGGUGGGGACGACGUCAAGUCAUCAUGCCCCUUAUGUCUUGGGCUGCACACGUGCUACAAUGGCCGGUACAAUGAGCUGCGAUACCGCGAGGUGGAGCGAAUCUCAAAAAGCCGGUCUCAGUUCGGAUUGGGGUCUGCAACUCGACCCC
rnacentral:rRNA from 1 species